rnacentral:rRNA from 1 species
GACGUAGGGCGCGAGCGUUGUCCGGAUUUAUUGGGCGUAAAGAGCUCGUAGGCGGCUUGUCGCGUCGUCCGUGAAAACUUGGGGCUCAACCCCAAGCUUGCGGUCGAUACGGGCAGGCUAGAGUUCGGUAGGGGAGACUGGAAUUCCUGGUGUAGCGGUGAAAUGCGCAGAUAUCGGGAGGAACACCUAUGGCGAAGGCAGCUCGCUGGGACGUUACUGACGCUGAGACGCGAAAGCGUGGGGAGCAAACAGG